rnacentral:pre_miRNA from 1 species
UACCGAGGUUUUCCUCGGCAGUUAACUGCAGUCGGUUUUUGAAUUCCUCGGCAGUUAACUGCCGAAGGGGCAA